UACGUAGGGGGCGAGCGUUGUCCGGAUUUAUUGGGCGUAAAGAGCUCGUAGGCGGUUUGGUAAGUUGGAUGUGAAAUCCCCAGGCUCAACCUGGGAACUGCGUCUGAUACUGGAUGGCUUGAAUCCGGGAGAGGGAUGCAGAAUUCCAGGUGUAGCGGUGAAAUGCGUAGAUAUCUGGAGGAAUACCGGUGGCGAAGGCGGCAUCCUGGACCGGCAUUGACGCUGAGGAGCGAAAGCCAGGGGAGCAAACGGG
rnacentral:rRNA from 1 species